CGGCUGGGCUCCCGCGCGCUGAAUGGCUGGCGGUCUGCAGCGCCAGGGUCUCCGACCUCCAAGCUACAGGUCCGUGGCGCUCCACGUAGGCGCCCAAGGCGGGCCGGGGAGGUUGCCCCUCCAGCACCCGUCUCCGCCCUGCACAUCCACCCCACCACGCUUCCCUCCACUCCUGUGGCGGUCGCAGUCCUCUCUCACGCCUCCCAGGAAGGGGACACUGCGGCCAAGAGAGACAUUGCAGAACCUACUUCUCCCUAUGGGCCCAGCCCGCCGAGAGCCUGAGAGCGGGACCAUUUACAUGGGGUAUUAAUUGGUCUCUGAGGAAUCGUUCACCCACGUGCCGAUGUAAUUGCCCGAGUCCAGGCGCUAGGCAAGCGGAGCCGCGGACCUAAAGAGAAAGCACUAAGGCACCAGCGUCUAGAAGCUCGGCGCACUCCAGAGCGUCCCCCAGUGGCCGGGCAGCACCACGGACAGAGUCUGCGACUCGGCUCCGGAGUGGCUCUCAGGCUUCUCGGUGCCACGGGUAGAGAGGUGCGGCAGCAGGGUGCGCCAGGAUUCUCUGGGCUCUGGCCACCCCACCCCUCUCUUAGCAACUCGGACUGCUUGCGCCUGCUGUGUGGCUUUAUUCCGAAAGCCAGUGUCUUAUCUCUCAAGUUCAAGUCCCAAGGAGAGAACUUGCCCAGUUUCCUCUCCAUAAGUCGUUUCUACCAUCCUCUGGCAGCCUCGGGAAGCAGGGAGCCUUGGAUUGCUCAUCCCAGAGCCAGCGCGGGCAGUCCCCCUCCGUCCGGCCCAGUAUCCCGGCGCAUUCGCUUCUCUCUAGCCCUCCCUUUCUCUCUUCCUUUUUCCUCCUCUACUUCCCCCUCCCUCUUGCCUCUUAAGUUUCCUGCACCGUGAAUCCAACUGUGCCAAGCCUAGGCUCUCGCGAAACCAACCCCGAGCGCGACCGGGGCACUGGGACGCCGACUCUGCCGAGCCUGUACAAGGCAGCAGGACCGGUUCCCGCCCGAGCAUGGAGAUGAAGCGCCAGGGAGGGUACGUCCGGGGCGCCGGAGACGCCAGGCCCGAGUAGCUCCUCCAUGGAGCCUUCCCAGAGCGGUCCCUGCUCGCCGGAUUCUCCCCAAGUCCUGUGCGGCUGCUGAGAGCGCUCCUUGCUCUAUAAAGUGGAUGUCAGGUGGAUCUAUGUUUUUGAAGGAACAAAGACUCAGCGAAGGCACCGCGGAGUAAGUUUGAGACGCGGGAGGAUGCAGGCUGCGUGCUGGUACGUGCUUCUCCUCCUGCAGCCCACCGUCUACUUGGUCACAUGUGCCAAUUUAACCAAUGGUGGAAAGUCAGAACUUCUAAAAUCAGGAAGCAGCAAAUCCACACUAAAGCACAUAUGGACAGAAAGCAGCAAAGACUUGUCUAUCAGCCGACUCCUGUCACAGACUUUUCGUGGCAAAGAAAAUGACACAGAUUUAGACCUGCGAUAUGACACCCCAGAACCUUACUCUGAGCAAGACCUCUGGGACUGGCUGAGGAACUCCACAGACCUUCAAGAGCCUCGGCCCAGGGCCAAGCGAAGGCCCAUUGUUAAGACGGGCAAGUUUAAGAAAAUGUUUGGAUGGGGUGAUUUUCAUUCCAACAUCAAAACAGUGAAGCUAAACCUAUUGAUAACUGGGAAAAUUGUAGAUCAUGGUAAUGGGACAUUUAGUGUUUAUUUCAGGCAUAAUUCCACUGGUCAAGGGAAUGUAUCUGUCAGCUUGGUGCCCCCUACGAAAAUAGUGGAAUUCGACUUGGCACAACAAACCGUGAUUGAUGCCAAAGAUUCCAAGUCCUUUAACUGUCGCAUUGAAUAUGAAAAGGUUGACAAGGCUACCAAGAACACACUCUGCAACUAUGACCCUUCAAAAACCUGUUACCAGGAGCAGACCCAAAGUCAUGUAUCCUGGCUCUGCUCCAAGCCCUUUAAGGUGAUCUGUAUUUACAUUUCCUUUUAUAGUACAGAUUAUAAACUAGUACAGAAAGUGUGCCCUGACUACAACUACCACAGUGACACACCUUACUUCCCCUCCGGAUGAGGAAGGACAUGGGGGUGAGACUGAAGCCUGAGGAGUUCAAGGUCAUAUGACAGGGCUGUUACCUCAAGAAGAAGGUCCCAUCUGUUUCCUGGAAUGUGUCUACACUGCUGCUCUCGUCAACUGGCUGCAAAUACGCUCGUGGAAAACAACCUGAUGUAAUUUCUGCCCAGUCAGCUUCAUCUCUCAGUAUAGUUGUAAAUCACCCCAGAUUCUACAGCCGCACCUGAAGACAUGCUCUCACACAUAGAUGUACACAAACACACCCUCAUACCCAUUUCAGCUGGCAUCUGUCAUGAUUCCUGUCAAGAGGGCUUUCGUUGUCUGACUCAUAAUUGUUUAGGAUAAACGAUCAAGAGAAAGGAUUAACUAGACAGUGAUGGGUUUUCAGCACUUGCUGUUGUGGAAAUCUCCUUUAAAGUCUUGAGUACAUGCUAAUCAAUAAUCCUCACUCAUGCAUUUCUACUGCUUGGAGUAGCUGUACUGGUAAAUACUACUGUAGGAGUAUAUGCUUGUUAAAAUGGAAAAAAAAAUGUGUCUUUAGAACUCAGUAUUCUUUAUUUUAUGAACACAACACGUGUAGUAACUUUUUCCCAGCAUAUAGUAGGCACAUUCAAGGUGAUUCAAGAUGGCUCUUUUUUCUGUGGAGGGAGCCUGUUCUCAGUAAAGAUGAGCAAACAUUUGGAAUUUACAUGUGGGCAGACACUGGAUUACAGCUUUCAUCACCAAUCAUUGGACUUUUGCAAAGUCGAGACCAGCUAAGGCUGCUUAAAACAAGUUCUGAUCAUUAUAUAAGAAGGAAAAUGCCUGACAGACACCAUGUAAGUUAUAAGUGUCUGUCUUAUCUUUACUACACAUAUUGUAACAAAUUCAAUAUCCUAGUCUUCAUUUGUAUGAAUGGUUUGUAUUGUACAUAGUUUAACCAAGUGUUAUUUGAGCUGCUUAUUAAUAUUAACUUGUACGUGUCUCUCUGCUUGUUAUUGGUUAAAAAAGAAAAAAAAGGAUAUGAGGAAUCCAUUCUAUCAGUGUAGCUGUGAACUCCAUUAAAAAGACAAACUUAAUGUACAAAGCAUUUAUUCAGCUCAAGUAUUGUUGAAAGCUAUACAUAUACAACAUUACAGUCUGUCUGUAUUUAGAUAUUUUAUUUCUGGACGAAAUGAAAUGUACAUAAAAAUAAAAUGCUUAAAGUUGAGUUUCAAUAUGUACUUGUGUAAGAUGGUGAUUUAAAUGGUUCUGACAAGAAGAAUGUGCUGAAAUAUAGUCAUGGUUCUGCAUCUCAUGUCUCUAAAUUCGUACAGAACUAUCUAAAUUGCUAUUAGUCGCCCAGUCAAAACAACUUAGGAGUUUCAAUCUUAAGCCUGGGAAACAGUUGUGGCAUUCAGCAUUAUACACAUUUUUGGUUUUCUGUCAUGCUAGUUGUUCAAGAAUACCAAAAAUCAAUGAACGUAAGGAGAUAAUUGAGGUCUUGUAAAUUAAUUAUAGCUGGUUGAUUAUUUUUCCUGUACAGUGUCUUUCUUUAGCAGGGAGUUGAGAAAAAUGUAAUUUUUAUUUCCUCACAGAUGUCUGAAGAUUGUGACUGACUUUCCCCGAUUCUACCAUAAUGACUCAACUGAGAAAAUUAUAAUAGCAGUGGAGGGUGUUGAUGCUCAAUUUAUGUAUAUCAAAAGGGAUCAAUUUAUCUAUAUAGCAUUAUGUUUUGGAUAUUUAUUUUUUACGAAUAAUUACUGCACACAAUCCCAGCAAAAUAAACAGAAGAAGAAAUAUGUAAGGUAAUAACCUAUUUUUAAAGUCAUGAAUUGGGGGAUGGGGUAUGAAAAGUGUCAAAGGUUAACCAAAGAAGUCGAAUUAAGAACAUUCACUCAUUCUCAUUUUCCAUUCAUGCUGCAUAGGGAUAAGUAUGCUUUCAUAGAGAAAAUAAUAGAAGGACUACAGGGGACUCAGUACCACAGAGUUAUAAACUAUGGACUCAAUGAUUUGGCUAAAGAGAGCCUUCAACUACCAAUCAAAGUCACAUUCUGGUAAAUGUUCACCUCUCAAAAUCCUCUUAUAUAGCUGGAAAGACAUUCAUAUCAAUAUCAAUAUAUUAAUUAAUUUACCAUGGGACUUAGAAGCUAUUGUUAGAACAGACACAUUUGGCAAUAAGAGCUUCAUGAGUUCCAGGUGCAGAACAUAAUUUCCACAGAUAAAUCUUGUUAUUCUGGGGUUUGUUUACCAAAAUGAUCACUUAGGAGUUAGUUCUCUCUCAGCAAAAAGGGGAAUGAGUCAGAAGGCAAAAAUAUAUAUAUUUUUUUAUUAUUUGAUUAGUGUCCUGUGACUUUCAUUAUGUGGUCUAACCUGUCCUAUAAUCCAACAUGCAAGAUGAGAUGAAAAUAUGCUUUGGUCUUCCCCCAUCCGCCCUGGUCUCCAAAGUCCUCAUGAAUAUUGCUUUUGUGUUUUGUAAACAUAAAGGAGGCAGCUCCUAAUUAACAUUCAAUGGGUUAAGUUAUUUUUCUGUAGUUUUUUUUUAGAACAAAAACAAAAUAAAAAUAAAAUUAGCAAAUCUCCAACAACGAUUUCAAUUUUUAAAAAUAUAAGCUUUUAGGACUCUUUUUCUGGGCCUUUAUUCACAUAUUCCGAACUCCUACGUCAUCAAAACUUUUCAUCUGUAAUAUAGAAAAUCCAUGAUGAAAUAGAAAAUUGACUCAAAAAUAAUUUAUUUGUAUCCAACAUACUUCUGUUUUAGACAAGCAAGCAGAUGAAGGAAGAUGAAUAUGAAGGUUCAAAAGAUUAAAAACUUUGCUAGGCCAACUUGUUGCUUCAGCAAACUGGUUAGUUAAGUUUUAAUUAAGCUAGAAAAUCAUUUGUUUUUUUGAAAAAAUAAACUUUAAGGCACACUAAGAAAAUCACUUUUUCUAGAAUCUUAAGUAUACUUUCACACCUUUGCUAGGAUAUAGAAAAAAUUCCAAGGUGGAAAUAGAUAGCAUCUGAUGCAAACAUGGGUUUGUCCUCAUCUAUUUUUAUUUUCAGAAAUAUUUUAGUAAAAGUGAAGUUAUUAUAAAGAAGUGUUUAUUGCAGCUUCUUGCCUCAUGGAAGAAUAAUGAUGCAAGUCACCGGUUUAUCUAUUUAUGAUAAAAACAAUGAAUUGUCAUGGUAUGGUUUCAGUUGGGCAUUUUUGGGCUUGUGGCUCUUGUGAGAAUUUCUCUGCAUGAGUAGAAGUGAUAUAACUGUUAAUAGCACAGUACUAAAUUUCUGGAAGUGAUUACUCUGAAAGUAAUUGAAAUACUUGUUAAAUUUAAAACUGUAGACUGGGAAUCUUCAGGUUCCUACAUUUGAGCAAUAAACUGUAAGCCAUAUUUUUGCACAGAAUAGAUUAAAAAAAUCAUGAGAAGCCUGAGAAAGUGUUUGUCUUUUCCCUUUUCCCUACUGCUUUACAUGUAAGAAGCAGCUUAACCAAUAUAAACAGCUCUUCAGAAAAGCAAUUUGCAUCUCCACCAUCAACUCUGAAUGCCAAGUUUUACCCUGGAGCAAAUUCAAAUGGCUGUGUUUAUUAACUUUUGGAACUUGGUUGAUGUACUAGCAUCUGACAUUUAUUGAUAAUUAUUCAAUUAUCAGUCUAUAUUAUAUUCAUUUUUAUCUUUACAUUUUAAGUAAAAUGAAAAUCAUUAGAUGCAUUCAAAAAUGAAACAUUUUAAAACAUUAAUUUGCAUAAAAAUGAUUGUUCUUUACCUAGUUUGUAGGUGUCAAAAAAAAAAAAAAAUGAGUCCCUUAACACUCAGCAUUGAAUCCUGAAAAAAUGAUUGGUAGGUCAGCUUUUCUCAGGAGUCCCAUGGCCUAUCAGAGGAUGAUUUCAGGGGUUGGGAGCAUAGGGGAAACAAUCCUUCUCAAUUUAAAAUUGCAGUGUAUCAUUGUUUAAUAUCUAGUACUAUUGGAAAUACUUUUAAGUAACAAAUUUGUAAUUACUUAUAUUUUUACUCAGAUGGUCAAGAACAGAAAUCCCAUGAGAGUUUUAAUUUCAAUUUGUUUCUGUGAACAAAGUCUAGAUAAGUCUCCUAAAAUUAGGAUAUUACUAGUGCCACGUAACUGACCAAGUGUCCAAAGUUUGAUGAAAAGCAGUUUAAUAUUAAUAAUUCUUCACUUAUAGGGUUUUGCCUUUUAUUACUCCUGGACUGUAGUUUGACUCUAAAGGCCCUAAAAGUGACGGAUGCAGAUGGUUUAGAGACUUUCUUUCAUUGGCUGUAGUGGCUGUUACCAUUGGUGGUGCCAAGUGUACAGUCUUGCAAAUUCUAACAGUGCAUCAGACAUACAGCCAAAGCUCAAUUCACAUCAUCCUCCCCAACAGGUGCUGAAUUUCUAUUUCUUAAUUCUAUGUAAGGGACCUAAAUAGACAACUGGAAUAUUACUGACUUCUGAUACUCAAAUUCCUUGACUCAAACACAGAAGUAAACUUGGCCAUUGAGGUAGUGACUAUUGAAAGAAAUAAUGCCAGAAAGUUGUUAGAAAGCCACUACUGUCAAAUAAAAAUAUGGAUUUACCAUUGUUUACGUUAGUGCUAAUAUUCACUUUGCCAAUUUUCUGUAAUCCAAUUUUAUUAUUAUAAUUAAUUUCUUUAUUUGCACUUUACGAAAAUUUUCAGUAGUGAGUAUGGUCAAGUGACAUCUCCAAGGCAGGUUGAAAAUAUUUCAUGGACUUUUUUUUUAAUGGAAAUAUAGGUGACAUACAACAUUACAUUAGUUUCAAGUGUACAAUAUAAUUGAUUUGAUAUUUGUAUAUCUUGCAAAAUGAUCACCACAAUAAGUCUAAUUAACAUCCUUCAUCAUAUAUAGUUACAAUUUUUUUUCUUGUGAUAACUUUAAAGAUUUACUUUCUUUGCAACUUUCAAAUAUGGAACACAGUGCUACUGUCUAUAAUCACCGUGAUGUACAUUACAUCCCCAUGAUUUGUUUAUUUGAUAGCUGUAAGUUCGCUCUUUUUCACCCCUUUUACCCAUUUUGCUUACCCCCAGCACUGCCUCUGGCAACCAUCAAUCUGUUCUCUGUAUCUAUGAGCUUGGUUUACUGUUGUUUUUUCUUUGUAAGAUUCCACGUAUAAGAUAGAUUUUACAGUAUUUGCCUUAUCUGACUUAUUUCACUUAGGAUAAUUCCCUCAAGGUCCAUCCAUGUUGUCAGAAAUAGCAAAAAAGAUUUCAUAUUUUUCAAAACUGAAUAUUAUCCCAUUGUAUAAACAACAAUUUCUUUAUUCAUCCAUUGACAGUCACUUGUUUCCAUAUUUUUUAAAUGAUUUUUGUUUUUUCCCAUUAUAGCUGGUUUACAGUGUUCUGUCAAUUUUCUACUGUACAGCAAGGUGACCCAGUCACAUACUACACAUAUACAUUCCUUUGUUUCCAUAUUUCGGUAUUGUAAACAGAUGCAUUGAAUGUGGGGGUGCAUACCUUAUCAGAUACAAAAUUUGCAAAUAUUUCCUCCCAGUGCAUAGGUUGCCCUUACCUUUUGUUGAUGGUUUCCUUUGCUGCAGAGAGCUUUUUAGUUGAUCCAGUCUCAUUUGUUUAUUUUUGCUUUCACUGUAUAUGCUUUGGUGUCAGAUCCAAAAUAUCAUCACCAAGAUUGAAGUCCUGAAAGGUUGCCACCUAUGUUUCUUCUAAGAGUUUUAUGGUUUCAGGUUUUACAUUCAAACCUUUGAUCCAUUUUGAAUCAAUUUUCAUGUAUAGUGUAAGAUAGUAGUUCAGUUUUAUUCUUUUAUUGUGGCUUUCCAGUUUUUCCAACACCAUUUAUUUAAGUUUUUUACCGAGUUUUUAUUCGCAUGCUUUUAGAGCUAUUUUUUGGAGGCAUUUUGUCCUUUAGAAGUUUCUCCAAAUGAUGAACGACUACAUUCCUUUGUCUCUACAAGGUCUGAUAUUCUUUCUUGUCAAGAAUGCCCCUCAAGUAGACUUAUCUAAUUAAACAUUUCCCCAAAGUGCCACUACAAGUCCAAAAUAUCCAAAAGUUCACCCAUUUUUCAAAAAGGCACAAGAUUUUGAUCCAUAGUGGGUAUACAUAAAGAAAGCCAGAGUUUUUUGAGGAAGGUGGAGAAAAGGUUUUAGACCAGGUGGAACCCAUCUUUGCACUAAGAUGACCUGAGAGGUCAUAACUAUAAGGUACCUAUUUAUUAACAACUGUUCCAAAACACAGGGAAUCACCUGUUUUCCUCACUUUUGAACAGAAAAGGAUAAUUUACCAUGAAACUUUAACAAGCAAAAUACAUGCACAAUAAAGUCAGGGAGCUCAAAAUGCAAAGAUAGCAGAGCCAGGGGCCAAGGGCUCUGUGAGUACCAGCACCUGUUUGCUCAUCAGCUACAGAGUCAUUGGGGCUUCUUUAGAUCCCACUCUUGAUUUUCUGAAGAGUGGCAAAAGUUUAGAAAUAACAGAAGUAAAGCUGACAAAUCCAUGAAAUAGGAACUAAUAAAAGUUUAUUGCGCACACACCGAAAAGACGGUUUGCAAAUUGGCAGUGCUCAAACCAAAACAUGGAAUGAGGCUCGAGAGUACAUUGUUAUAAAGCAGCUUAUGUAGUGAAAAGGCAGUGACUGUUUAUUCUUCACAGUGACUGGCUAUAAUAUUAGAAUUUUCUUCAGUGAUAGGGAAUUGGUCAGUGGUUACCUCAUAACAAUUUUGAGAAAUAGUUUUAAGUUUUGCUUAUGAUUUCCAGAAGCAUAAGCAUGAAAUGACCUAGGUCAAGUUAGUGUUGCAAAAUAAGCUAAAUUAAGCUUUGUUUAGAUAAUUGGUUUUGUCUGCUCAGGGAAUUUUCAAGGCUGGUCUCCAUUUGGGGUUUGAUUUUAACAAGGAAAUAAAAAAGAUGGUGCCUACCUGCUUUAGUGAAAUGGUGCCCACUUGCCUCAGAGGUCAGAGAGGAUCCCAAUGGUCCCCACCCCCACCUCAGUCCACCUGUUUAAACUUAGCAAAUGACCUUCUUUUCACACAAUGUCUGGUGCUCUUCACGGGGCUGCAUCUGUGCUGGGCCCAAUGGGAGCUGAGUCUGUGCAGGCUCUUUAAGAGGUGGUCUUCAUUGGUGCAGCGUAGGGUCUUAUGAGCAUGUGCGUGGGAGCCCCAAGCCGUUUUAAAGGCUGGAGUGCAGGGCUUAAAAGUUAGUGAGUUGAGGGCCGAGUGGGAGGUCUUCGUCGCUCAGGAUUCAUCCAGGAUUUAUGCUUCCUCAGAUUGUAGGAAGUCUGUUUCAACUUUUUCUGUCUGUCUUGCUGUGCUUUCACCACUCCUUCCCCCAAUGGGAAGGAGCAACUUUGCUAAUACUGGGUUUUUUUCAGAGAAAAAUGGUUCUAAGUUUAGCUCUAGACUAGGUUUGUCUGUCAGAGGAGCUGAAUUCGGAAUUUUUCUAGGUUGCCGUCUGAGCCUGACCUCAUAAACUUUUUGUGAGAGGCUUCCUCUGUCCACUGGAGUCUGCUUUGCAGCAGGUCAGAUGUGCCCAGGAAAUAACGCUCUGCAGGAGCACAGGGACAGGCUUCCAACAAUCACCGGAGCAGCCGAUCCUCAGG